GAACGCACCUUGCGCCCUUUGGCUAUUCCGAAGGGCAUGCCUGUUUGAGUAUCAUGAACACCUCAACUCUCAUGGUUUGCCAUGAUGAGCUUGGACUUUGGGGGUCUUGCUGGCCUAUGGGUCAGCUCCUCUCAAAUGAAUCAGCUUGCCAGUGUUUGGUGGCAUCACAGGUGUGAUAACUAUCUACGCUUGUGGUUUUCCAUCAGGUAACCUUCAGUGAUGGAGGUUCGCUGGGGCUCAUAAAUGUCUCUCCUCGGUGAGGACAGCUUUUUGAACGUUUGAUCUCAAAUCAGGUAGGACUACCCGCUGAACUUAAG
rnacentral:misc_RNA from 1 species